rnacentral:lncRNA from 1 species
UAGGAAGAGUGAGUUUGUUAACCGGUGACCAGCUGUAGGAAAGCAAGGCUGCACCACGACAAGAGAUACAAUGACAGGCGUCUCCAGUUUAACGUGCUGACACAGAACCUCCCGUCGUCUUCCUGAUUUCCAUGCACGGUGCCACCACAGUUCACUCACUUGCGUCGGCGUCACACUAGGAAUCUUCCGUCAUCCCUCACCGUCUGGGUCCCACUCAGCAGCCAGCACCAUCAGGUCUUAACUCAGCUGUCGUCCCUGACAGGCCUUCCCUGGCCACCGUAUCUACACUUGUCUUCGCUGAGUGUUACCUCUGUCCAGCCUUCCAAACCAGACCCUGCAGCGCCUCUUGGGAACGCCCUGCGGAAGAUCUGUGCUGAUGCCUCACCACCUGCAGGACAGAAGUGCAGACUCCUGCCCGGGCCCCAGUGCAUAGUUGUAUAUCCUAGAUGGAAGUCCUUCCAGUUCUUCUAUGUGGGAUGAUGCCACAGCAUGGCUACUGACAGACAGGUGGUGUGGUUCCAAGACCAGGAAGCGAACCCGGGCCGCUGAAGUGUUCUACAGAUCCUGAUUGAGUAGUGAUUGCUGUGUUCCAGGCUUUAGUCUAGGCUGUUGCCAUACGUCAGUGCAUGGAACAGAUAAAGAUCCCUACAUUCUAGCAGGAAAAGACAAGCAGUAAGAAACAAAGAAAUGACUUACCCGGGAUCACACCUGAGAAAUCACCAGGGUCAUUUCACGCCCGAUUCCAUGUGACUCCAGUUCUAUGUGACACCCUUUGAAGUGGUUGGGAUCCAGACAUGAGGUCACAAUCAACUAAUUCACCUUUCAAAUGUUUUUUGAACCUCGACUGAAUGCUGGCACUGUGCUGGUUCUUACCGUCAGGAGCUUAGAUUCCAGUCGGAGGGACAGAGCAAAGAAGUGAACAAAGUCAAU